GGACUGGUGGCGCAGUGGUUAGCGAGUGGGAGCUCGGUUAAAGGUUGGAAACAAUCCCAAGGUCCCCGGUUCGAUCCCGGGCCAGCCG